rnacentral:rRNA from 1 species
GACGUAGGGCGCGAGCGUUGUCCGGAUUUAUUGGGCGUAAAGAGCUCGUAGGCGGUCCGUCACGUCGGCUGUGAAAACCUGGGGCUCAACCCCGGGCCUGCAGCCGAUACGGGCGGACUAGAAUUCGGUAGGGGAGACUGGAAUUCCUGGUGUAGCGGUGAAAUGCGCAGAUAUCAGGAGGAACACCGGUGGCGAAGGCGGGUCUCUGGGCCGAUAUUGACGCUGAGGAGCGAAAGCGUGGGGAGCGAACAGG